GACGAACGCUGGCGGCGUGCCUAAUACAUGCAAGUCGAACGCAGUGGGGACGGGUGAGUAACACGUGGGUAACCUCCCAUCAGAGGGGAUAACACUUGGAAACAAGUGCAAAACCGAUACUGAUGGAUCAACCCGCUGUGCAUUAGCUAGUUGGUGAGGUAACGGCUCACCAAGGCCACGAUGCAUAGCUGACCGGAGAGGAUGACCGGCCACACUGGAACUGAGACACGGCCCAGACUCCGACGGGAGGCAGCAGGAGGGAAUCUUCGGCAAUGGGCGAAAGUCUGACCGAGCAACGCCGCGUGAGUGAAGAAGGUUUUCGGAUUGUAAAGCUCUGUUGUUAGGGAAGCGGUAUCUAACGAGAAAGCCACGGCUAACUACGUGCCAGCAGCCGCGGUAAUAC
rnacentral:rRNA from 1 species